UGUUUAGUUAAGUUAGAAAGGGCGCACGGUGGAUGCCUUGGCACUAGGAGCCGAUGAAGGACGGGACAAACACCGAUAUGCUUCGGGGAGCUGUAAGUAAGCGUUGAUCCGGAGAUUUCCGAAUGGGGGAACCCACUGUCCGUAAUGGGGCAGUAUCCAUACGUGAAUCCAUAGCGUAUGGAGGGCAUACUCGGGGAACUGAAACAUCUAAGUACCCGGAGGAGAAGAAAGCAAAAGCGAUUCCCUGAGUAGCGGCGAGCGAAACGGGAACAGCCCAAACCAAGAGGCUUGCCUCUUGGGGUUGUAGGACACUCAAUACGGAGUGACAAAGGAACGGAGUAGAUGAAGCGGUCUGGAAAGGCCUGCCAGAGGAGGUAACAGCCCUGUAGUCGAAACUUCGUUCCCUCCUGAGUGGAUCCUGAGUACGGCGGGACACGAGGAAUCCCGUCGGAAGCAGGGAGGACCAUCUCCCAAGGCUAAAUACUCCCUAGUGACCGAUAGUGAACCAGUACCGUGAGGGAAAGGUGAAAGCACCCGGGAGGGGAGUGAAAGAAGAACCUGAAACCGUGUGCCUACAAGUAGUCAGAGCCCGUUUAUGGGUGAUGGCGUGCCUUUUGUAGAAUGAACCGGCGAG
rnacentral:rRNA from 2 species